GAUCGGAGGUGUCGGGACGGAACCAGGCGCCUGCGGAAGAGCUUCGGCCAGGAGACGGAGAGGAAGCGGGGUUCGGGCUGCCGAAGGCGGCGGAUCUGGCUACGGCUAAGGCAUCGGGUCCACGGGUCACGUCACACUUUCAAUCUGUUGUCAACCGAGAGACGCCAUGGAAACGGCGGAGGAAUGCGGAGUCGCCGGGGUGUGGGGGGGCUCGGUUUGCGGCCCCCGCUCCGGCCAUUCCCGGGCCAGGACUGACGCCGAGCCCAGAGACCCCACAGGAACUGGAACAGAUCACAGAACAGCUUUGGAGCUGAAGCACUAUGACAUCGUUCCUUGCCCAGCUCGUUAGCCGCUGCUUCAGCUGGUUGUGCUGCGCAGCCGUUCCCACUGCUGCCACGGGCAGUCUUCAGGCACCCCAGUCGGGCAGAAGGGCCACUCUUCCGUGGAAGGGAGAACCUGUCUCUACCUCAGCUGUGCUGUGGCGAAUUGUGCAAUGCCCCGUGGGACUCCUGGGUACAGGUAGCAAUGUUAGCACACACAUGGUCAGGAUUCGACCUCAGUCUGUGGUGUGUGUCUCUCCAGUCCCAGCACCAAGGACUAGCACUUCAGCUGGGCUCAGUUACUGCACCAAAGGCUAGCACUUUAGCAGAGCUCAGUUACUGCACCAAAGGCUAGCGCUUUAGCUGGGCUCAGUUGCUGCAUUGAGGGCUAGCACGUUAGCUAAGCUCCGUUACUGUACCAAGGCUUAGGGAUUUAGCUGGACUCUGUUACUGCAUCAAGGGCUAGCACGUUAGCUAAGCACCACUACUGUACCUUAGGCUUAGGGCUUUAGCUGGACUCAGUCGCUGAGGGCUAGUACUUUAGGUGGAAUUGCUAGAAUUACUUUAUGAGCUUUUCAGAUCAGGUGCACAUAGACGGUGAGAAACAUGACAGCUCCAUGACAAGCACAGCUCUCCUCUCUCAUACGGUUUAAAGAUCACUCUCCUUCCUGAAAGCGCCAUAGCCAUUCAAAUCCACUAAUCCAAACUCUAUCCCCUCUAAACUGAUUUUCUAUUGGCUCACAUGGCUGUCAAUAUUGGUCAGGAAGCAGGCCUGCUGUGACAACAUAGCGAUUUUCCAGGGCCCGCAUUUCUACCAGAUUUCAGAAAGACUAACGAAUCUGAUUGGGCCACACUUAUGAGUGGGAACUGGCUGUGGCUCGGAUACAAACACGCAACCUGCCAUUCCAGCGCAUAAACUGUUAUUGCACCAGGCAAAUACUUUCUGCAAAUUGUCUCCGUAGGUGUUUAGACACGUGUCAUGAAAUUGGUGAUUUUGUGAGCAUCACCCUCUGAUUGGGGAGGAUGGCUAUUCAGCAGUGGAAAACCUGGUCCCCUAAGGGACUGGUUGCACACAGAGAAAGUUCAGUAUUAUUGAAUUUUUUAUACUUACAUCAGAGAAGUCUUUUUGACCUCUCCCCUUCAUAUCCCCUCUGCAAUCUUCUCUGUGAUAACAGUGCUCAGAAUGUAUGCCAUAAAGUUUACAUAAUGCUGUCAUAACCAUAGCGCAGCAUCUGUCAUAACCAGGCCAGACAACACGCUAUAUCUUUAUAUCUUGUGACUGAUCUAACACUGUCAUAAUGCCUGCAGUGAUCAUUUUGUGCAAGUUAUUUUGAACCUGUCUAGUUACAUUUUUUUU